rnacentral:lncRNA from 1 species
CCCACAUGAAGUCGAGAACAUAACCGACGACGAGAACAGAAAUUGGAAAGAUGUAUGUACAUAUAUAUACAAGUUAACACAUAAGCAAUAACAUGGGACACCCUAACUUAGCGCACAAGAAAUGUGAAAUAUCAUGUGCCGCCCUAACUUAUCCAGUCCGAUACGGAGGGCGCCGAUGCAGUAGAUGCCGUUGCAGCGGGCGGCUCUGUUAUCUGAUUGGGCGCCAGCGAUCGCAUGAUCUUGUUUAUGCGUAGGCGGCUCUUAUCUCUUGUGAGCGCGGACGGCUCGCCGGCUAGGUUUCGGUGUAGGUUUAGAAGUAAGCUUUAGUUUAGAAUUGGACGAAUAAAUGAACGGAGCGUUCACAUAAACUCCGACACGAGUCGUAAAAGUGCAUUGAUAUAAUCAUAUUGUUGAGCCUUAAGGGCCAACGAAAUAGAGGGCAAUUACCCUCUCAACAUAAUCUUCGGUAGAAGACUCAGUUGCCAACCGCAACCACCGUCCCCCGCUACAAGAGCGGGCCACGGGAACCCGAUCGCUGCCGCCGGAGCCAACGCAACGCAUACCGCAGCUCGGACCAAAAACCGCCAUAAGUUAAUUGGCGCCCAACGGGAUUUAGGAUCCACGUCCCCAAGAAAAAUAACAUGUAAGUUGGGACUAUAGAAACAAGGUCGAAUACGACAGCGACGAGAGCCUAGACUUAUUGUACCAGCCACCAGUCAGAACAGUGCAGAAUCAAUUUAAAAUGGACCCAGCCAUGAUAAAAGCGUUAGUAGAAGGCGCAAUCAACACAGCCCUCGUCGAACAGGAACGACGACUGAGUGCAGAAUUUAGCAGGGAACUCGAAAAAGUUAGAAAUAGUGUGAGCGCUCUAACUGUAGGUGUCCCUCAGGUGGAAACUUAUAAGAGAGUGACCAUUGACACUAGUAUAAAAUGUGAAGUGAAACUAGAUAUCAUAAAAUCAGUACCAACUUUCAACGGGAAUCAUGAGGAAUAUGUGUCUUGGAGACAAUCUGCUCUAGAUGCGUACGAAGUUUUCAAAAACUACUCUGGUAGUCAGACACACUACGAGGCUGUGGCCAUCAUAAAAAAUAAAAUCUGUGGAACAGCUCGAGCAUUGCUCACAUCGCACAACACGGUGCUCA